AAUAUUGGGCAAAGGAGGCAACUCUGAUCCACCCAUGCCGGAGGCAGGAAGACUGCCCUUAAAGCUUAAAAAUUUGUAUACAGGAAGAAACCGCUUAACGUGUAGUGCUUUGAUGGUACUGUAAGAAUAAAGAUUGGAAAUCCCCGUCACCGCCCGCGGGGUUAUAGAGGGGAUCCGAGCUUUAUCCAAAAUCAUUGGUAAAAAGGGUCAUAGGGGAUAAUUAAGUCAAGGAAAUAAGUCUGCAGGUCAACUGUAGAACAUCUUUGAUGGCGGUUAAGAGUAAGAGUUAGGAAAUCGUUAUAAUAUGUGUAGCGCGAAAAAUUAGAUAUUAUGACGUACAAUACCAAUGAGAAGGCUGAUCAGUAACAAAAUAACAACAAUGAAGGAAAAAAGGGGUGGGAGACAACAGGAUAUAAUACCGUGGUUGUCCACGCCAAA
rnacentral:rRNA from 1 species